rnacentral:RNase_MRP_RNA from 1 species
GCGCUCACACAGGGAGCUUGCUCCCAUAGAUGCUGUGUGGAAAGUCCCCGUGCCAAAGGGCAGAGAGUGCCAGUGGGAGACCGCCUGGUUCCAGUACUGGCAUUUGCGGUGAUACCUCUGGUGGAGCUGCACUGUCAUACAAGCGCCAUUUGCAUCACCACAGUUAUGUCAUGAGUGCCCACUUGUGGGUGCCAACAGAACGGGGCUCACUCUCC